rnacentral:lncRNA from 1 species
UUGAGCUUCAAAUCAAUGAUAUAACCAUACCCACUGUCCCAAAAAGUAUUGAACUUCAUGUGACUAUUUCUCUGGAAAAGAUCCUUUUCCUUUCACUUUAGCUAGGAUCUACUAGUCUUUUGUUCAAAGUGCUAAAGACAUGAAAAUUCAAUUACAAAUGUCAUGCUUUACGUCACUGCUAUGCCCAAGGAAAGUAAUAAUUUCCACUAGACGUGGGCUGUAAGUGAUAAUUAAUUUACUUUAGUAGUAUGUGUGUGAAACUUUUUAGGGAGUGAUUGAACUGAGGAAAAAAGUCAAUGAUGUAGAAUGUAGUGAGUU